AUUGAACGCUGGCGGCAGGCCUAACACAUGCAAGUCGAACGCGUGGCAGACGGGUGAGUAAUGUCUGGGACACUGCCCGAUGGAGGGGGAUCACCACUGGAAACGGUAUCUAAUCCCGCAUACCAUCGUCUGCGCCCAGAUGGUGUUAGCUAGUAGGUGGGGUAACGGCUCACCUAGGCGACGAUCCCUAGCUGGUCUGAGAGGAUGACCAGCCACACUGGAACUGAGACACGGUCCAGACUCCUACGGGAGGCAGCAGUGGGGAAUAUUGCACAAUGGGCGCAAGCCUGAUACAGCCAUGCCGCGUGUAUGAAGAAGGCCUUCGGGUUGUAAAGUACUUUCAGCGAGGAGGCGUUACUCGCAGAAGAAGCAUCGGCUAACUCCGUGCCAGCAGCCGCGGUAAUAC
rnacentral:rRNA from 1 species